rnacentral:lncRNA from 1 species
ACGCCACCACCCGUGGGUGAACACACGUUCUUUACGUGGAUAAACAAUCAUUUCGUGCCUGCCAGGCGUGCGUGUGUGUAUAGAGAGAGACGUGUGAAGAAAACUCGCUUCCACUGCCAGCUACGUCUCUUGGUUAAAAUUCGCCUUUAUGCUGUAACCCCAAACCAUCAUAAUCAAGUCCCGUCGGGCUCCCUUUUAACAAACAGGGAGUCUCCCUCGUCAUUUAUUGGGGUCAGUGCUAACCCGCCCUCGGAGCGGCUCGGACGGGCCGAGCACAUCCGCGAAGCGCUGUCUGGUGGCGCCACAUCUGGGCCCGGGUGCCAGGGACAGGGUACCCACAGGACCGAGCAGGAGCCUUCCUUGGAGGCGCGCAGCUCCAUCGGGAACACGCCUUGCGACUACAAAUUCCUCUUUCUUCGGCUAACAGCUCUGGGCCAGAGGCUGGUGGAGAGGCCCCGAGCCCACGUAGACCGAGAGGACGAUGAGGAAGACCAGGAGCAGGAAGAGGCUGGCGGCCGCGGCGGCCACGGCGAAGAGCUCCAUUCGCAGCGCAGCCUCGGGCCGCGGGGACUCGCCGGCUGCCUCGCGGCGCCGCGUUGCCAUGGGAACCGCAGCUGCGCGCCCGCGGAACCGCGCGUUUGUGACCGGAGAAUCCCCCGGCUCCGCCGCUGCCCCCGCCCUCGGGGCGGAGGGACGCGCCUUCCCUCCCCCCGCCCCCGCCCCCGGCCCCAGCACCCCUGCGGGAAAACAGAAAGCAGCGGCGUGUGCGCCCUGCAGACCCUUGCUAAAGCGUUGCCGCGUGUCUGGGAGCGCGGCCGCUGGCCGGGAGCCGACCGCUCCGAGCCCACGAGCCCCGAGGUCGGGCGCGCAGCCCCGGGUGGAGGCCGCUGCGCCGGCCCGCGCAGCCCCCCUUCCCCGCCGCUCCGGGCCGGGGGCGCGAUCCCGGGCGCUGAGCGCUCCUCUCGCGGGUCCAGGAUUUCGCCGACGCCCCCGCACCCUGCAGGGACCCUCGGACCGAGAAAGUUAGAGGCCCGACGUGCGCGUUUUUGCGGAACCUCCCCGGAGCGAGGGCCACAUUUAAUCCCUCGCCCCUGCCCUACAGGCUUUCAAAGACGAGGGAGGCAGCAUAAAAGAAAUCCUGCCCGAGUCCUAAUUAUUGGAACACUUCCUAACACGCCGUCUGUCCCAGGAACUGGAAACAUAUUGCAGGAAGGCAAUGUUUGGGUAAUUAAUAAAGAGCAAAUAACGGGGCUUCCGAAACGCUCGCCGCCCUGGCCCCGGCGGGCGGCCCUGCGAGGUGCUGGGCGCCGCUCGGCCGCCCUCAGGACGCACGGACAGAGGUUCCCGCAGGACGCGGCCGCAUCCCCGCCAGACUUUUCCCCGCUCACGUUAUUAGCAGAAACGCAGAAGGCGAGCGACUCCCAUUUUUACCCACCAAACUUUCUUCUCCCGGGUCGCCGGUGA